GGUAAUACCUCUUUUCUUCCUUUUUAGCCUGUAUAUGCAAACAGAUUUCCAGUACCAACUUACGUAGCCAAGCAACCUCAGCAGUUCCCAUCAAGGCCACCUCCACCACAACCAAAAGUAUCAUCUCAGGGACAUUUCAUUCCUGCUCGUCCUGCUCCAGCACCUCCUUUAUAUAGUACCCUCACUUGAUUUUUUUUUUACCUUUCCUUUUGCAGAUAUCUUCAAGGAACUGAGCUAAUACUUUUUUUUCCUGAUAUUUUCUUGAAAAGCCUUUCUUCCUGCUGCAAUAUGAAUGAGAAAACAAUACUGCAAAACAAAUUUUACUAACGCAGAAAACCAAGAAAUUGAAUAGUAGGAAUUGAGAAAUAUAAGAAAUGCAGUAAAGCCAAGGAAUUUAGAAUAACAUUUCCAUUUCCAUCCCUGAAUAAGUCUUAUUCAGUCAUGUGUGAGGUUAAUGCACCUAACAUGGCUUAUAUUAUUUUGAACAUGUUAUUGUAAUGAUUCUCAAAUAAAUUGUAUUGGUUUGUUUUGUCAAUAUGUGCUUAAAUGUAAUUCUGAAUUUUGAUCUUAGUUAUCAUUAAUGUAGUUUCUGGUUGAACAUGUGAUAAUCUAAUACCUAUGAAAACUGACUGAUUAGCUACCAAUAAUAUCUAAUAUUUUUCAUCUUGCACAGACUAAUAAUCAUCAUAUCUCAUUCACUACAUGAAUAAAGGAAUAUUUUGUCUUCAGAAUAAUGCACAAAACCCACAACUGAGAUAUCAUAAUAUUUUGAAAGUACAAAGUACACUACAAGUGUGUAUGUGUGUAUUCACACACAGUUAUUUUCUUCCAUUUUUAUGUUCAUUCUAUGGAUAAAUGAUUCUGUGGAUCUAUCUAUGGGUAAGGAGUGUUAGAAAAUUUAAUUUAAUAGUAGAAAUUCUAUUAUGAAUCAUGCUAAAGCAUGACAUCCUUUUACAAUAGCAUUAUUUUAAAUAAAUUCUAAACUUUAAGGUACAAAGUAUUUAAUAGAACUAAUCAGAUAUGCUGUUGAUUCAUGGCUAUAAUAAAGCAGGAGCAAUUAUAAUAUCUUCAAUCAACUGAGCUGUCAUAAAACCACUUUAGAAUUUCAUGAGCACUUUAAGUCUAAAAUCUGAAACUUCAAAGCUUGCUAUUAAUAUAAUUUAGAAUGUUUACAUUUUCUAAGGUGUGCUGGAUCAUGUCUCUGUUGACACUAAUAUUUUCAAAGAAAUUGGCCUGGAGAAAGGAAGGAAGAAAAGGUUUUCUUAGAUAAAUGCAAAAAAGUUAGUGUGGUAUCUGUGAGUUAUCAUCACAGCUGUGUUAAAAAAUAAAUUUUUACUGUGGAAGAAAUGGUAUGGAUGGUAAAAUUUUAAACAUUUAAAAAUUUUUCAUAACCUUUCAUAAUAAAGUUUAAUAUAGCUUUAUUAACUGAA